UACAGGGGUGCAAACGUUGCUCGGAAUCAUUGGGCGUAAAGCGCACGUAGGCGGUUCGUUAUGUCGGAUGUGAAGCCCUUGGCUUAACCGAGGAAGUGCAUCCGAAACUGGCGAGCUAGAGUACUAAAGAGGAUCGCGGAAUUCCCGGUGUAGAGGUGAAAUUCGUAGAUAUCGGGAGGAACACCGGUGGCGAAGGCGGCGAUCUGGGUAGAUACUGACGCUGAGGUGCGAAAAGCGUGGGGAGCAACAGGG
rnacentral:rRNA from 1 species